AACGAACGCUGGCGGCAUGCCUAACACAUGCAAGUCGAACGAUACCUUCUGGUCUUUUUGCGCACGGGUGCGGCAGGCGAGGGAAGCUUCACUUAGGGUCGGAAUAACUUCCCGCAAGGGGUGCUAAUACCGGAUAAUGUCUACUGCCCCAUGAAUUAUCUGCUUGGGAGGGGCCCGCGUUGGAUUUGCUAUUUGGUAGCGUAAAAGCCUACCAAGGCGACGAUCCAUAGCUGGUCCGGGAGGACGAUCAGCAACCCUGGGUGUGGGACACGGCCCAGACUCUUACGGAAGGCAGAAGUGGUGAAUAUUGGACGAUGGGCGAAAGCAUGAUCCAGCAAGGCCGCGUGAGUGAUGAAGUACUUAGGGUCGUAAAGCUCUUUUAACAGCGAUGAUAAUGACAGUACCGGGAGAAUAAGCUCCGGCUAACUACGUG
rnacentral:rRNA from 1 species